rnacentral:rRNA from 1 species
CUGGGCGUAAAGCGCACGCAGGCGGUUUGUUAAGUCAGAUGUGAAAUCCCCGGGCUCAACCUGGGAACUGCAUCUGAUACUGGCAAGCUUGAGUCUCGUAGAGGGGGGUAGAAUUCCAGGUGUAGCGGUGAAAUGCGUAGAGAUCUGGAGGAAUACCGGUGGCGAAGGCGGCCCCCUGGACGAAGACUGACGCUCAGGUGCGAAAGCGUGGGGAGCAAACAGGAUUAGAUACCCUGGUAGUCCACGCCGUAAACGAUGUCGACUUGGAGGUUGUGCCCUUGAGGCGUGGCUUCCGGAGCUAACGCGUUAAGUCGACCGCCUGGGGAGUACGGCCGCAAGGUUAAAACUCAAAUGAAUUGACGGGGGCCCGCACAAGCGGUGGAGCAUGUGGUUUAAUUCGAUGCAACGCGAAGAACCUUACCUGGACUUGACAUCCACGGAAGUUUUCAGAGAUGAGAAUGUGCCUUCGGGAACCGUGAGACAGGUGCUGCAUGGCUGUCGUCAGCUCGUGUUGUGAAAUGUUGGGUUAAGUCCCGCAACGAGCGCAACCCUUAUCCUUUGUUGCCAGCGGUCCGGCCGGGAACUCAAAGGAGACUGCCAGUGAUAAACUGGAGGAAGGUGGGGAUGACGUCAAGUCAUCAUGGCCCUUACGACCAGGGCUACACACGUGCUACAAUGGCGCAUACAAAGAGAAGCGACCUCGCGAGAGCAAGCGGACCUCAUAAAGUGCGUCGUAGUCCGGAUUGGAGUCUGCAACUCGACUCCAUGAAGUCGGAAUCGCUAGUAAUCGUGGAUCAGAAUGCCACGGUGAAUACGUUCCCGGGCCUUGUACACACCGCCCGUCACACCAUGGGAGUGGGUUGCAAAAGAAGUAGGUAGCUUAACCUUCGGGAGGGCGCUUACCACUUUGUGAUUCAUGACUGGGGUGAAGUCGUAACAAGGUAACCGUAGGGGAACCUGCGGUUGGAUCACCUCCUUACCUUAAAGAA